rnacentral:rRNA from 1 species
GAAGGGGGCUAGCGUUGCUCGGAAUCACUGGGCGUAAAGGGUGCGUAGGCGGGUCUUUAAGUCAGGGGUGAAAUCCUGGAGCUCAACUCCAGAACUGCCUUUGAUACUGAAGAUCUUGAGUCCGGGAGAGGUGAGUGGAACUGCGAGUGUAGAGGUGAAAUUCGUAGAUAUUCGCAAGAACACCAGUGGCGAAGGCGGCUCACUGGCCCGGUACUGACGCUGAGGCACGAAAGCGUGGGGAGCAACAGGAUU